rnacentral:rRNA from 1 species
UACAGAGGUGGCAAGCGUUGUUCGGAAUUACUGGGCGUAAAGGGCGCGUAGGCGGCCAUCUAAGUCAGACGUGAAAUCCCCCGGCUUAACCUGGGAACUGCGUCUGAUACUGGACGGCUUGAGUAUGGGAGAGGGAGUGUAGAAUUCCAGGUGUAGCGGUGAAAUGCGUAGAUAUCUGGAGGAACACCGGUGGCGAAGGCGGCAUCCUGGACCGGCAUUGACGCUGAGGCGCGAAAGCCAGGGGAGCAAACGGG